rnacentral:rRNA from 1 species
GAUGAACGCUGGCGGCGUGCCUAAUACAUGCAAGUCGAGCGAACAGACCAGGAGCUUUCUCCUCUGACGUUAUCGCCGGACGGGUGCUUCCCACGUGGUUAACCUACCUCUACGACUGGGAUACCUACGCGAAACCGUAGCUUCUACCGGAUAAUUUAUCGCCCCUCGUUGUUCACUCGUGAGAUUCGCUUUUGCUUUCACUAAUAGCUUAACCCGCGCCGCAUUCGCUAGUUGGUUAGGUAGCGGCUUACCAAGGCAACGAUGCGUAGCCGACCUGAGAGGGUGAUCGGCCACACGGGAACUGAGGCAGGGUCCAGACUCCUACGGGAGGAAGCAGUAGGGAAUCUUACGCGAUGGGCGAAAGCCUGACGGAGCAACGCCGCGUGAGUGAUGAAGGUCUUCGGAUCGUAAAACUCUGUUAUUAGGGAAGAACAAAUGUGUAAGUAACUAUGCACGUCUUGACGGUACCGAAUCAGAAAGCCACGGCUAACUACGUG